rnacentral:tmRNA from 1 species
AGGCUUCACAACCGCCCGUACCCUCCCUAUAUUCGCCCUGUCAGCUUGCCUGACUAUGGCGAUAAACGGCCGAUGUAAUAAGCCAUUCGGACCCGGGGGCGGUACCCGGCGCCUCCACCAGAAACCGCCGGAGCGACGGCUUCUGCUGGGGGCGAAACAGGAUCGACGAGGGUGUAAAGAUCGGACUUUUGCCCGGCAUUGUACCACCGUUAUCGGGCUAACCUUAUAGUUGCCAACGACAACUAUGCUGAGGCACGUCUCGCUGCUUAAUGCGGCGCGAUAGUCUCGAAUCAAGCCCUGGGGGUUAGCACCUCCAGGCGGGGUCCGGAGGCACCUGGCAACAGAAGCCUCCACU